GUGCGUGAGGAUUCUGUCCCUUCUCCCUCACAGCUGUGCGCGCUUUCAAACGCGCCCAACAACAUGAAACGUGAGGGGGGGACGACACGCAAGCCGCAAUUAAAUGGGAAGAAAAAAUAUCGCUUUGGCAACUCAAGGUGCGUGUGUGGUGAAGGAGGACAGGAGAGGGCUUGUUGUACCUUCUCUGACUCGCUGAGCUUGGUGGACACGCCGGCGGGGCUGGCCUUUAGAGCCGGACCCCGGGGAACUGCAGACCUUAUGACAAAACAGUGUAAACAGUAGGACGAGCAGCCUGCAGAUACGUUCUUCAAGCUCUGGAAGCUCUGCUUUGAUGGUGUGGUAAAGUCUCGGCCUGUGGUCGGACGCUUCACGGGAACAGUGGUAGCGUGCACCAUAUCCCCACCAGACCUCUCCCCGAGGGGUUUAAACCUCAACACCAAAGCGCACGGGCACUAAUUACGUCCCAGUUAAUCCAGAGGCGGUGGUGGGGGAGGGGUGUGAGACGAAAGCGAGACAGAGAA